UACGUAGGGUGCAAGCGUUGUCCGGAAUUAUUGGGCGUAAAGAGCUUGUAGGCGGUUUGUCGCGUCUGCUGUGAAAUUUCGGGGCUCAACCCCGAACUUGCAGUGGGUACGGGCAGACUAGAGUGUGGUAGGGGAGACUGGAAUUCCUGGUGUAGCGGUGGAAUGCGCAGAUAUCAGGAGGAACACCGAUGGCGAAGGCAGGUCUCUGGGCCGCAACUGACGCUGAGGAGCGAAAGCAUGGGGAGCGAACAGG
rnacentral:rRNA from 1 species